AAGCGCUGCUGAGUUAGUCUGCAGAGAAACUGACCCGACAGUGAACGUCCCUCCUUUUUUUAAAAAAAGAUCUGCUGCUGUCCAAUCACUCUCUUUGCCUCUUCACAAUCUUCUAUAUAAGGAUCUCAUCGCUGCCCUGACAGAUUAGUCUGCAGACCCUGAGAGGAGCACUUGGCAGUCGCUCAGUAACGAGCUUCCAAGAGCAGGACGUGAAUAUCAGGAUCACAGAAACUCAACUUACACAUUCAACCACGGCAGAAUAUCACUGUGCUUCUUUACAACACAACAAGAUGGCGGAUUUGCUGUGAUUUUGCUCCUCGACUCGAUCCUCGAUCCUGGAGCGUGUGACCCGGAAAUUGAUCUCAGCACGCCAUCUUGAAGGACAUCUCAAUUCCUAAAUUGCACAUCGAGGAGCGAGGAUGGAGGAUGGACGAGGCUUGCUGGAGGAGUUAUAAGCGAGGAUCCAUCGGAGUAUCCUUUGUGGAAGUCUUUUCAGCCGCUGUGAUGUUCAAAAGAGGCGUGACAAGCAGCUCGACCAACCCACAGCUGGAGCAGGACUCUGUAGUGUUCCUGUUUUAUUCAUAAGCUGUAUCAGUUAAGCCUAUUGAAAAUAAUCAAUCAAUCAAACUUUCUGCCCUUCAUCGUUUGUGUAGUGCCUCAUUAAGCACUGUUCUAACCACAUUCCUUAAUGUCAUUUCACUUUGACAUCACUGAUGUUGUUAUUGUUGAAUGUGAUGUUUGGAUGGGCAGCAGGAUUGUAAAAAUUAACAUUUAAGAGUGGCUGGAUGAAGCACCUCCCCAGUGGCUCUGCGCAUUUAUGCACGAGCAACAUAAAAUAAUAAUAAAUCUCCCGACACACCGACAGGAUCGGUCAAGAUCUGAUGUUAAUUCAUGUUCUGUGUUCUUCUUCACACAAAGGUCUCACACAGAGUCCAGUUUCGUACAGUAAAAGUGUUUGGAGUAAAGCAGCUGUCCUUCUGAUCAAUCCUGAGCUCCAUCAGAGUCUAAACGUGGAUUAUAGAAGCUGAAAGUUUAAUUCAGAGUCCUCAGUCUGUCCUGUCAAGUUUAUUACGGCAGUUUUUUUGUUGUUUGUUGCUUUGUCCCAUGAUAUUUGCUGUGACAUUACUGCACCGAUGGAAACAUUUAAAUGACUGACAGCAGCCGUUCUAAUCAUCAAAGUAAAUCGUUAAAGAAAACACUUGUACAUCAAUAUAUCACCUGAAGCUGCAGGCACCGUGGAGGUGGGGGUAAAACGUCCAUACAGAAGCUGGUCUCUAAAUCUGAUAAAAUAAUUAGUUGCUGGGGGGCAGGUGGAUGAUUUAUGCGUUUAGGCCUAUAUAAGUUCCGUUAAUGUCCGAUCCGAUCCGCGCGUCACACCAAUUCAGCUGCUAUAACCAUGACAAAACAGCUGCAGAAGUCAAAUUAUUAUAUCAACCAGAGCAUUCAGCACUGAUCUGUUUCAUGUUUUAAUAAUAGUGCCCAUGUAGUCUGCACGUUAUUCCAACAGUAGAGUCCUGUGAUGACAGCUGUAAUUGGGGCUAUAUGAGAUAAAUGUUACUGUCAUUUUGUGAAGGGACCGAUGAUGAAACGCUCAUCUCAUCAAGCUGUGGGCUGAAAUGAUCUCCUAUUGACAGACAAAAGUGGAAACACUUUGGUUACAGCGCCCCCAUGUGGCAGAGUGGGGCCAUAUUUUCUCCAUGUGUGAUGACUGAGGAGAGAGUGAAGUCUGAUGUGUCUAAGAUUUAUCACUCCAUGGUAAAUGAGGAGACGUCAACAACAACAAGUCAAACAGAACAACAACAGGAGUUUGGUCCUUCAGCUUUAAACCACUUUUGACCGCUCUGGUUUGAUUGUUUAUAAGCCAUGAAGUAUAAAUUUUCACCCAAUUCUGUCUCACAGCUUUUUAGCCAACUUCAUUCCAGCUCAUCAGCACGAGUUUUACUCUUCUUUUUGGUCAGCAGAGCUCAUUUACAUGAAACUCCAGCUGGUGUUUGAGUAGAAUCACCAGAAAUGAGAAGUUAUUCUGGAUCAUCACAGACUGGUAUAUGUCAGAUAUUAGCCAGGAUGUUCCCAAGUCACAGCUGACUGAAGCUCUUUUACUCACUGAACACAGAGAGCAAAACAUUUUAUUUACAAACAACAGUCAACUUUUAUUUCCAGAACUUAAAAUUAAACAUUCAACUUUUCUGUGCGUUUCAUCUAUUAAUAUUGGUUAUUAUCAAAUUAUUCUAAUUAAUGCAUUUUCAUGUGAUCUGAUUUGAAGUGACUUCAUGAGGAAGAAGAAAUGUUUGAAUCCUUUUUAUUUCUUUAUUGUUUCAUUAUUGUACUGAUGAAAAGUUGGACUGACUUCAGUGUUUAAUGACAUAAAUCUCUGUCAGCUGUUUGUGUCUCUGACAUUAAAAUGUUUUCUUGAACAGAAAAA